AUGACAGCUACUGAGGAUACAGCUGAGGAGACUAAUAACGAGUCUGAAGUCGAGGCAAGCACGGAAGCUCCAUUUGAGG
rnacentral:sRNA from 1 species